GGCGCUAUCGUAUAGCGGUUUAGUACACAGGAUUUUGAUUCCUGUAACCCAGGUUCGAACCCUGGUAGUGCCU
rnacentral:tRNA from 1 species